GACGAACGCUGGCGGCGUGCUUAACACAUGCAAGUCGAACGGAAAGGCCCUGCUUUUGUGGGGUGCUCGAGUGGCGAACGGGUGAGUAACACGUGAGUAACCUGCCCUUGACUUUGGGAUAACUUCAGGAAACUGGGGCUAAUACCGGAUAGGAGCUCCUGCUGCAUGGUGGGGGUUGGAAAGUUUCGGCGGUUGGGGAUGGACUCGCGGCUUAUCAGCUUGUUGGUGGGGUAGUGGCUUGCCAAGGCUUUGACGGGUAGCCGGCCUGAGAGGGUGACCGGCCACAUUGGGACUGAGAUACGGCCCAGACUCCUACGGGAGGCAGCAGUGGGGAAUAUUGCACAAUGGGCGGAAGCCUGAUGCAGCAACGCCGCGUGCGGGAUGACGGCCUUCGGGUUGUAAACCGCUUUCGCCUGUGACGAAGCGUGAGUGGCGGUAAUGGGUAAAGAAGCACCGGCUAACUACGUG
rnacentral:rRNA from 1 species